rnacentral:rRNA from 1 species
CCUACGGGGGGCAGCAGUGGGGAAUAUUGGACAAUGGGCGAAAGCCUGAUCCAGCCAUGCCGCGUGUGUGAAGAAGGCCUUCGGGUUGUAAAGCACUUUCAGUGGGGAAGAAAGCCUUGGGGCUAAUACCCUCGAGGAAGGACAUCACCCACAGAAGAAGCACCGGCUAACUCCGUGCCAGCAGCCGCGGUAAUACGGAGGGUGCGAGCGUUAAUCGGAAUUACUGGGCGUAAAGCGCGCGUAGGCGGUCUGAUAAGCCGGUUGUGAAAGCCCCGGGCUCAACCUGGGAACGGCAUCCGGAACUGUCAGGCUAGAGUGCAGGAGAGGAAGGUAGAAUUCCCGGUGUAGCGGUGAAAUGCGUAGAGAUCGGGAGGAAUACCAGUGGCGAAGGCGGCCGUCUGGACUGACACUGACGCUGAGGUGCGAAAGCGUGGGUAGCAAACAGGAUUAGAUACCCUAGUAGUC